GGGGGCUAUAUAUUGCCUUCAUCCAUUCUCAAACUUUAAAUAUGUAAGAAGCUNUUGUUGCUUAAUUGAACGUGAGCAUUCGAAUGUAUCAAUACUAGUGGGCCAUUUUUGGUAAGCAGAACUGGCGAUGCGGGAUGAACCGAACGCGAGGUUAAGGUGCCAGAGUAGACGCUCAUCAGACACCACAAAAGGUGUUAGUACAUCCAGACAGUUGGACGGUGGCCAUGGAAGUCGGAAUCCGCUAAGGACUGUGUAACAACUCACCAACCGAAUGUACUAGCCCUGAAAAUGGAUGGCGCUCAAGCGUCUCACCCAUACCUCGCCCUCAGGGUAGAAACGAUGNCCCUGAGGAGUAGGCGGACGUGGAGGUCAGUGACGAAGCCUAGGGCGUGAGCCCGGGUUGAACGGCC
rnacentral:rRNA from 1 species